rnacentral:rRNA from 1 species
GAAAAGAACUUUGAAGAGAGAGUUAAAAAGUACGUGAAACCUCUCGGGGGUAAGCGGGCAGAACUUGCAAGUAUUGAUGGUAACAUUCAGGCUUGUUGUUGGCGGCUGAGGGUGUAAAUUAUGUUGUUCCUUCGGGUGAUGACUGAUGUGCGCCUUUUGUUCUGUUGACGACACGCCGCAUUUGUUGCUGUCUUCGGGUUGCAUGCGACUGAGGUUGGUAGUUUAGGUGCUGGGGUGCUGCAAAUCCUUGUGGUUUGAGUCCUGGUUUCCAACUACUCGUGCGGUCGUUGAAAGCGAGCAGGCGUUUAUCGCGGUCAUCUUCUUUGACGAGUUGGGUGCAUGUGAUGUGUGGACGGGUAACCGUAGCAUGUUGUAUGUACCUGCUGUCAGUCAGAGUUGUGUGGCACUGUUCAGUAUUGCAAUCUCAAGCAUGCGUGGUCUGCCUGUCCCGUCUUGAAACACGGACCAAGGAGUCUAACAUGUGCGCGAGUCAUUGGGAAUUUGUAAACCCAAAGGCGGAAUGAAAGUGAAGAUUCGAUUGCGAAUUUGAGGAGAGAUCCCGGCUCUGUGUGGCAUUCCGCAAGGUUUGCUGCGCAGGGUGGGCGCAUCUCCGGGACGUCUAUACCUCUGAAGGUGGGGCGUACCUAGAGCGUACACGUUGG